rnacentral:rRNA from 1 species
GUCCAGACUCCUACGGGAGGCAGCAGUGAGGAAUAUUGGUCAAUGGGCGGAAGCCUGAACCAGCCAAGUCGCGUGAGGGAAGACGGCCCUACGGGUUGUAAACCUCUUUUGUCAGGGAGCAAGGUGCAGGUCGGGACCUGCUGUGAGAGUACCUGAAGAAAAAGCAUCGGCUAACUCCGUGCCAGCAGCCGCGGUAAUACGGAGGAUGCGAGCGUUAUCCGGAUUUAUUGGGUUUAAAGGGUGCGUAGGCGGAAUGCCAAGUCAGCGGUCAAAUCGUGGGGCUCAACCCCAUCCAGCCGUUGAAACUGGGGAUCUAGAGUGUGCGAGAGGUAUGCGGAAUGCGUGGUGUAGCGGUGAAAUGCAUAGAUAUCACGCAGAACCCCGAUUGCGAAGGCAGCAUACCGGUGCACAACUGACGCUCAGGCACGAAAGCGUGGGUAUCGAACAGGAUUAGAUACCCUUGUA